rnacentral:lncRNA from 1 species
AAAAAAUUCCUUGAAUUUGAUUUCGGUUCCCGUAUUUAUAAUGGGAGGGGAGGAGUUAGUUAAGAAUUCAAAAUUCGAAAUUCGAAUUUUGAAUUAUUUGUUGGAUGGUUGGAGGAUAUUUGGGGAGUGGUUGGGAAUUCAAAAUUCGAAUUCGAAAUCGAAUGAGUUGUUGGAUAGUUGGAAGAUAUUUUGGGAGUUGGUUAGGGAAUUCGAAAUUCGAAAUCGAAUUUUGAAUGUGUUGUUGGAUGAUAUUUUGGGAAUUGGUUAGGUAAUUCAAAAUUCGAAAUCGAAUUUUGAAUGGGUUGUUUGAUGAUAUUUUGGGAAUUGGUUAGGGAAUUCAAAAUUCGAAAUCGAAUUUUGAAUGGAUGAUGUUUUGGGAAUUGGUUAGGGAAUUCAAAAUUCAAAAUCGAAUUUUGAAUGGGUUGUUGGAUGAUAUUUUGGGAAUUGGUUAGGGAAUUCAAAAUUCGAAAUCGAAUUUUGAAUGGGUUAUUGGAUGAUGUUUUGGGAAUUGAUUAGGGAAUUCAAAAUUCGAAAUCGAAUUUUGAAUGGGUUGUUGGAUGAUAUUUUGGGAAUUGGUUAGGGAAUUCAAAAUUCGAAAUCGAAUUUUGAAUGGGUUGUUGGAUGAUGUUUUGGGAAUUGGUUAGGUAAUUCAAAAUUCGAAAUCGAAUGGGUUGUUGGAUGAUAUUUUGGGAAUUGGUUAGUGAAUUCAAAAUUCGAAAUCGAAUUUUGAAUAAGUUGUUGGAGGAUGUUUUGGGAAUUGGUUAGGGAAUUCGAAAUUCGAAUUCGAAUUUCAAAUGGGUUAUGAGAUGGUUAGGUAUUCAAAAUUCGAAAUCGAAUUUUGAAUCGGUUAUUGGAUGAUGUUUUGGGAAUUGGUUGGGAGUUCGAAAUUCGAAAUCGAAUUUUGAAUAGGUUGUGAUUUGAAAUCGAAUUUCGAACAGAUAUUUUAUAUAAUGUGGAUGUGGGCCGUCGUUGAUCAGGCCCGCUUUAAUUUAUUGGGCCCAAANUUUUAUAUAAUGUGGAUGUGGGCCGUCGUUGAUCAGGCCCGCUUUAAUUUAUUGGGCCCAAAUGAUAAUAUUUAAUGGGCUGGAAUAAGGCCCCCCCCCCCGGUUUUCUUUUAUUUGUUUGGGCUUUUAUGAGGCCCACCAACUCACAUUUAUGAAUGGGCCUAUUGUGGAUUUUAAAUUGUAAUUAUUGGCCCCAAAAUUUUCUAGUCAACAUGAGACCUAUCAAAAUUGUUUGAGUCUGAAUCUAAUCAGUUUCGAUUAUGAUUAGAAAAAAAAAAAAAAUUUUCACUUCAAACAAUAUUAUUGUAUAACUUGCAUUUAUUUUGUAUAUUCUGUUUUGAUUAUUUGGUAUUGAUUAUAUUAUUGAGAUUCUAUUGGUUGUGAUGUUAUAAUGUGUAUUAAUUUUGUGAUGUUGUGAUGUGUAUUACUUUUGUGAUGUUGUGAUGUGUAUUGAUAGGUAUCUUUAUUGUAUUCUUGUAUUGAAUCUUGUAAUUCACUUUUCUUCAACAUGUAUCUGUAUCGUAUUCUUGCAUUGAAUCUUGUAAUUGAUUUUUCUGCGGCAAAGUACUAGUGGGCUGGUAGUCGUAUUGGACACGGUGAUCCAUUCACCGUGUCCAAUACAAAUGUAAUGGACACGGUGAUCCAUUCACCGUGUCCAAUACAAAUGUAAUGGACACGGUGAUCCAUUCACCGUGUCCAAUAAAAAUCUAUUGGACACGGUGAUCCAUUCACCGUGUCCAAUAC